GACGAACGCUGGCGGCGUGCCUAAUACAUGCAAGUAGAACGCAGUUGCGAACGGGUGAGUAACGCGUAGGUAACCUGCCUCAUAGCGGGGGAUAACAAUUGGAAACGAUAGCUAAUACCGCCUACUUUGAGAUGGACCUGCGUUGUAUUAGCUAGUUGGUGAGGUAAAGGGUCACCAAGGCGACGAUCCAUAGCCGACCUGAGAGGGGGAUCGGCCACACUGGGACUGAGACAAGGCACAGGACCCUACGGGAGGCAGCAGUAGGGAAUCUUCGGGAAUGGGCGGAAGUCUGACCGAGCAACGCCGGGGGAGUGAAGAAGGUUUUCGGAUCGUAAAGCUCUGUUGUUAGAGAAUCGGUAACUAACCAGAAAGGGACGGCUAACUACGUGCCAGCCGCCGCGGUAAUAC
rnacentral:rRNA from 1 species